ensembl:snRNA U6 U6 spliceosomal RNA
GUGCUCGCUUUGGCAACACUUACUAAAACUAAUGAAACAAUACAGAGGAGAUUAGCAUGGCCCUUAUGCAGGGAUGACAAACAAAUUUGUGAAGCAUUUAUUCU